CAGUCGAGCGGUAGCACAGAGAGCUUGCUCUCGGGUGACGAGCGGCGGACGGGUGAGUAAUGUCUGGGAAACUGCCUGAUGGAGGGGGAUAACUACUGGAAACGGUAGCUAAUACCGCAUAAUGUCGCAAGACCAAAGUGGGGGACCUUCGGGCCUCAUGCCAUCAGAUGUGCCCAGAUGGGAUUAGCUAGUAGGUGGGGUAACGGCUCACCUAGGCGACGAUCCCUAGCUGGUCUGAGAGGAUGACCAGCCACACUGGAACUGAGKCACGGUCCAYACUCCUACGGGAGGCAGCAGUGGGGAAUAUUGCACAAUGGGCGCAAGCCUGAUGCAGCCAUGCCGCGUGUGUGAAGAAGGCCUURCGGGUUGUAAAGCACUUUCAGCGGGGAGGAAGGCGAUAAGGUUAAUAACCUUGUCGAUUGACGUUACCCGCAGAAGAAGCACCGGCUAACUCCGUGCCAGCAGCCGCGGUAAUACGGAGGGUGCAAGCGUUAAUCGGAAUUACUGGGCGUAAAGCGCACGCAGGCGGUCUGUCAAGUCGGAUGUGAAAUCCCCGGGCUCAACCUGGGAACUGCAUUCGAAACUGGCAGGCUAGAGUCUUGUAGAGGGGGGUAGAAUUCCAGGUGUAGCGGUGAAAUGCGUAGAGAUCUGGAGGAAUACCGGUGGCGAAGGCGGCCCCCUGGACAAAGACUGACGCUCAGGUGCGAAAGCGUGGGGAGCAAACAGGAUUAGAUACCCUGGUAGUCCACGCCGUAAACGAUGUCGAUUUGGAGGUUGUGCCCUUGAGGCGUGGCUUCCGGAGCUAACGCGUUAAAUCGACCGCCUGGGGAGUACGGCCGCAAGGUUAAAACUCAAAUGAAUUGACGGGGGCCCGCACAAGCGGUGGAGCAUGUGGUUUAAUUCGAUGCAACGCGAAGAACCUUACCUGGUCUUGACAUCCACAGAACUUACCAGAGAUGGAUUGGUGCCUUCGGGAACUGUGAGACAGGUGCUGCAUGGCUGUCGUCAGCUCGUGUUGUGAAAUGUUGGGUUAAGUCCCGCAACGAGCGCAACCCUUAUCCUUUGUUGCCAGCGGUUAGGCCGGGAACUCAAAGGAGACUGCCAGUGAUAAACUGGAGGAAGGUGGGGAUGACGUCAAGUCAUCAUGGCCCUUACGACCAGGGCUACACACGUGCUACAAUGGCAUAUACAAAGAGAAGCGACCUCGCGAGAGCAAGCGGACCUCAUAAAGUAUGUCGUAGUCCGGAUUGGAGUCUGCAACUCGACUCCAUGAAGUCGGAAUCGCUAGUAAUCGUAGAUCAGAAUGCUACGGUGAAUACGUUCCCGGGCCUUGUACACACCGCCCGUCACACCAUGGGAGUGGGUUGCAAAAGAAGUAGGUAGCUUAACCUUCGGGAGGGCGCUA
rnacentral:rRNA from 1 species